rnacentral:antisense_RNA from 1 species
GCUCAAACGGGCUCAAAUUCAGAAGCUACCAUUGCUCCUCACUCCCACCCCCAGGACGCUGAUUGUUCUGUGCAGGUAGAAGGUAGGUGGUGAGUCUGAGAAAGGGGCCAGAAAGACUCCCCAGCAACUGCUGGCAAAGGGUGAAGGGCACGUUCCCACAGGAUGCAAGCCAGGGGAGAUGGGCACUCAGUUUAGACGUUCCUACAGCAGGGUCAGCAAGACAAGCAGGUUGCGGCAGGGGUCUGUGCACUGCUGUGUAAAUGUAGGGGGCAUCAGGAGGUAGACAGCAGCUGAUAACCAGUGUCUCAAGAGCCUUCCUAGGGCAGAAAGACCAGGGGAGAGGUGUGCAUCACCCUUGGAGUUAAGGGACAGUUGUCUGUUAGGUGUUCCUUCCUGGAGAUGGCUGAAAAGCCAGUCCAGUCUGCAGGGACCAGGCCACCACCCACCUGAUGUGGGAGCAUUUCCCCCAAUCCCUGCUGGGCUGCUGAAUCUGGGGGACAUAGGGAAGCUGAGGCUGGCGUUCUGAGUGGUGACAGAGCUGAGCCACAGGGGAUGUCUGAGGUCAGCCCUGAGCAGAGUGGAGUAGGGACUCAGGGUGGGUCAGGGAACUGGAAAGCGGGCACUGUGCACGCAGCCCUUGAGAGGAGCCAGGGUGGGGAUCCCCCACCGUGUGCAGAAGGCAGCAGCCUUGGAAGCAGGGUGCGCUCCGUGGUGUGCUCGCUCGAUACCAGAAAAUGACUCUAAAAACUAAAGAGUGUUUGAGUUUCAUUCACACAAAACAUGGACGUCAUCUGUGAGGCUCUGUCCCAGAGAGACCGGGCCAUCCUCAUGUCUGUUAUUGGGAUGUAAAUAAACAAAAGUACAAAUCAAACAAACUGCAAAUUA